rnacentral:misc_RNA from 1 species
GAAGCAUAUUAGAUUUUAUGGAUCUGUUUAUAAGGGAAUAGAAUUGGAAGAAGACAGCUCCACAUCCAUGCAUUUGAUGCAACAUAGGAAUCCAUUACAAAACAACAAGUCAAUCAGAAUCACAUCUGUUAUUCAGAAACAUCACUUUAAGAAUUUAAAACUACAGAUCAUUUUCCCAAACAACCUUAAGCCUUCUGCUUAUUAAACAAUCCUUUGCUCACCAGAAACCAGCCCCCAGCCACCAUACUGCUACAUGAAACCACAACAGAAUGGCAUCACCCACCAGACAUUAAAUAGAGAUGAUAUUGCAUGGCAAAAGAUUCAGUCUUCUCAGUGCGGUUCCCUCAUUAACAGGUGCCUAUUUCUUAGGGCUAGAAAUUACAAGAAGAAACACUGCAGUCACUUUUUUAUGGGAUCUCUGAAGGCUUGAAACUAUGCCGUAUUUAUAAUGACCACUGUUGGCAUAUGAUUUUUUGAUACAAUUUAAGGCUAACUCACCCAGAGAUUUUGCAAAUUUGUGGUAAAUCCCCUUAUUUUCUAUUGAAAAUAGAAUAUGGCAUAUGGCACAGCAGAAACACUGGACCAGCUGCAAACCUCAACAUUCUCUAACUUUUUCCUAGCAAUAUAUUUUUAAGGGACCACUCUAUUCAUAGAAAUAUGAAAACAAAUUAUGACAUACAGUAUAUGGAACAUUGGCUUGAUCAAUUAACCAAAGCAGCAUAUGCCACGACAAGAGUACGAGACCCUGAACAGCUUGGUCAUUGGAAAAUGAAACAACCCACAGAAUCAACGCCAUCCAUAGAAUCAAGCAACACAUUUCUCCUUCUUAUGGUAGCACUUAUUGGAGGUACAUAGU